rnacentral:lncRNA from 1 species
UUUGAUAUAAUACUUUGGUUAUGGGUGAAAUGUGCAAAUUUUGCAAAAUAGCAAGUAGUUAUAAAAUAUUCAUUGUGUCGGGGAAUAUUCGUUUGGUCGUGGAAUAUUCUUUCUGUCGGGGAAUAUUCGUACGACGGCGCAGCCAUUUGUGGGCCCCAUAACGGAUAACUGUCGGAUGAAAAAAAUGACAAAGUUUGAGUUUUUACAAAUAACGGCGUAAUUGUUACCGUUAACACUGUUGGAAUACCUGGUGGUUAAAAUACAGUAAUACGCGUGGUUGCACAGUAGCACACGGUAUUG